rnacentral:rRNA from 1 species
ACGAAGUCUUCGGACUGAGUGGCGGACGGGUGAGUAACGCGUGAGAAUCUGCCUAGAGGUCGGGGACAACCAUUGGAAACGAUGGCUAAUACCGGAUAUGCCUUACGGGGUGAAAGAUUAAUUGCCUUUAGAAGAGCUCGCGUCUGAUUAGCUAGUUGGUGAGGUAAGAGCUCACCAAGGCAGCGAUCAGUAGCUGGUCUGAGAGGAUGACCAGCCACACUGGGACUGAGACACGGCCCAGACUCCUACGGGAGGCAGCAGUGGGGAAUUUUCCGCAAUGGGCGAAAGCCUGACGGAGCAAGACCGCGUGAGGGAGGAAGGCUCUUGGGUUGUAAACCUCUUUUGUCAGGGAAGAACAAAAUGACGGUACCUGACGAAUCAGCAUCGGCUAACUCCGUGCCAGCAGCCGCGGUAAUACGGAGGAUGCAAGCGUUAUCCGGAAUUAUUGGGCGUAAAGCGUCCGCAGGUGGCUGAUCAAGUCUGCGGUCAAAGACCGGGGCUUAACCCUGGAAAGGCCGUGGAAACUGAUAGAGCUAGAGUACCGUAGGGGUAGAGGGAAUUCCCGGUGUAGCGGUGAAAUGCGUAGAGAUCGGGAAGAACAUCGGUGGCGAAAGCGCUCUACUGGACGGUGACUGACACUCAGGGACGAAAGCUAGGGGAGCGAAUGGGAUUAGAUACC